rnacentral:ncRNA from 1 species
UGGUAUGGGUUAAUUGGUAGCCCAUGUAAAACUUUUUGAAUUGCUGGGAACCCCUAACGUAAAGACGAGGGCAAUCAGCAGCGAAGCUCACAUGGUAACAGUGUGUGAACGUUCAACGACUAUGUACUAUCAAUUGAUAGGCAGCGGAAAGCACAUUUGAUAUAUGUGAUGAUAUAGUCUGGUCUCAUAUGAAAAUAUGAG